GGGCGCGUGGCGCAACUGGUAGUGCGCCUGGUUGUCAGACAGAGAGGGCAUGGGUUCGAACCCCACAGAGGCAA